CGGUCUCAUAUGAGUAAAUAAAUAAAUAAAUAACAUGAAGUGGGUGAAAUGAUAGUAGAAGAUAUGGUGUGGAGGUUGAAGCAGUAUAGGGUAGGGACAAAAAGAAGGGUUUAUAAGAGAUGGGAGAAAAUGGUUUUGAGAGAGGAGGGAAGGGGAAAAGAGAAUGAGGUAGAAAGAGGAAAGAAGGAGGAGAUAGAGAACGAGAAAGAGAGAACGAGAGAAACCGAGAGAAAGAGAGAGAGCGAGAGAAUGAGGGAGAGCAAGAGAGAGAUCAAGAGGAGGAGAGAGAGAGGGAAAG
rnacentral:lncRNA from 1 species